UAGGGAAUCUUCGGCAAUGGACGAAAGUCUGACCGAGCAACGCCGCGUGAGUGAAGAAGGUUUUCGGAUCGUAAACCUCUGUUGGUAGAGAAGAACGUUGGUGAGAGUGGAAAGCUCAUCAAGUGACGGUAACUACCCAGAAAGGGACGGCUAACUACGUGCUAG
rnacentral:rRNA from 1 species